rnacentral:lncRNA from 1 species
CAGCUUUAGACAUUGAUAUCUACAAAUCAUGCUUAAAAGUUCUCCUUCUUAUAAGAAAAUCAUGAAAUAAGGAUGGAAUAAUGAUCAUAACUGAAAGAGAAGUUUGACAGUAUCUCUCAGCAAAAACAUCCUCAACUUUUGUAUCUUCAACUUGUUUGCUGUUGAUCAGUUGUAGUUCUGGAAAACUGAACAAUGAACUUAACUGAACAAGGAGUCCAUGAAUUCCUCAUCCACCAUGAUAUGUUCUCCUUAAAUGACCAACUUAAAGAAUUUCUUCACUCCUGUGUGCACUCUCGUCCCUUGUCUGGUAUGGAGAGUGUCAUUGUUGACAGGGUGUCACAGCAGCACCAACAUUUUGCUGACCAGCCAGAUGGGUUUUGACAGUUUCACUGAAAAAGGACACAGUGUGAUCAAGAUACCAAUAUUAAGAGUGAAUAAGCUCAACUAAGACCUAUAAUAAAUGAUUCUGGAGCCAUAUUAAGUUCCA